CCUCAGAGACUGCAGCCUCCUGAGGUUCUAAAGUGGCGGCUUUGCGUUUCAGGCCUUUCUUUCCACCGCCGCCGUUCUUAUCCCCGGCCUUCGCCAUGGUGUUUUUGCUACUUGCGGUGCCAUGCACAUGAAACCAAAAGCUGUUUGUGGAGACUACCUUCAUGGCUUAUUGGUAAUAACAGAUCUAAGAGACUAAGCUAAACAUUGUAGAGAAUAAAAGACAUCAUGUUUACCCUCAAGUAGCCUACAGUUCAGAAGAAGAUGAAACACAUUUCUAGUUGCUGCACCACCCAGGAUACGAUGAAAAUAAAGAUGCCACCGACUGGAGGACAGCAGUAAUCUUCUGAGUUCAGAUUAUCUUAAACCAACAUGGAACCCCAAAGUCCAGGCUGUAGAAGGUCAUCUCUGAACCUCCUUGAAGGUCAGCAGUAAAGAAAGAGGGAAUUGAAGAUGGGGACCUGGGAUGUUGGUGGAGGACUUGACUGGCACCCUCUGUCACCCAUUUUCCUGUCUACCUAGCUCGGGGCAUCUUUUUUUUUUUUUUUUUUUUUCCUUUGCUUUUCCAGAAGCAAAGUCAAGGUGGGAACCAAGUGCAGAUUUGGCUGUUGGCACUCUUGGAUAACGAGGUACCAUUAUCUCACUUUUGUAGUCACAGGAGACAAGACUUCAGUGACUUCUGAGUCUUUGCAGUAUCUGCAGUGGCGAGCUUGUCUAAGGCUCUUGCUAUUAUACUGUGCUAUAAAAAGCACAUAACACAGUCUAAUACUUUUAUGUCGCAGUUGAAGUGUUAUGGGAUUUCAUUUUAUAAGAACCUUAAGUCCUAUACAUAAAUCAUUCUCAUGUCAGCGAGGCUUUGUGCUUUGUUUUUUUCCUGUAACUCACUCUGAAUUCAUCCAAGAUGAAUAUUUCUGAACCAGGCAGUUAGAAAAGACACUGUGGUGUAGUGGAAAAAGCUCAAGAUGGUGAAUCAGGAUCUCAGUUCCAGAAUGGACUUUGUUGCUGACCAGCUGAAUUAAGACCCUGGGCCUCAUUUUCUUGGUUUGUAAACUGAGGGAACUGCAUGAAAGGAAAUGUCACUGUGCUUUCAGCUUUAAUGUUCUGUUUAGGCUCAAGACCUUUGGUCCCUCCUUUCUACCUUCCUAAAUAAUGGAAUAUAGAGCAUUUGAAAAAAACUGUAUCAUCGGUUCAUUAAGUUCAGUGUGAGCUAAAUUGAAUCUAGACAACCUACCUAGUUUACAGAGGAGGGAACUAAGUGAGCACAAAAAAGGCAAGUUACUUGCCUAGGUCACACAACUAAUUAAGAGCAGGAACCUGACAUUUUUAUCAAUCGUGAAUGUUUUUCUCAGAAAAAUUCACCUCAUUGUCUUGUGGUGGUAGUGGUGGUGGUGGGUGUGGAAGAAACUGAGACGUUUUCACAAAAAAGUGAACUUCUGUUUCUGCUGAAAUGGCGCUGCUCAUUUUGAUAUUCCCUGCAUUUCUCAUGCCAAAAUACUGGUGGCUAUUAAAUGUGCAAAAGCAUGUGUUGGUUACUUUAGGAUUAUACAUAGAAACUCCUAGGAAAAAAGACGACUCUGUUCUUGAAGAAAGUAACACCUUUCUUUACUUUUCCCUUCUGUCUUCACUUUUUUUGUUUGUCUUUCUGCCAUUUCUUGGGCCGCUCCCAUGGCAUAUGGAGUUUCCCAGGCUAGGGGUCUAAUUGGAGCUGUAACCACCAGCCUACACCAGAGCCACAGCAACGUGGGACCCGAGCCGCAUCUGCGACCUACACCACAGCUCACGGCAAUGCUGGAUCCUUAACCCACUGAGCAAGGCCAGGGAUUGAACCCGCAACCUCAUGGUUCCUAGUUGUAUUUGUUUACCACUGAGCCACAAUGGGAACUCCUGUUUUCACUUUUAAAAGCAUGCUUAUUGUUCAAAUGGUAAAGAAGUUCAGAAAAGUGUGUUCAGACAGUCAAGAACCAGAAGUUCCAGUCCAGCCUCUGCAUGGGUUUUUGGAAAAUCUGAUGGAUGAAUAGCAUAAACUGACAUGAAUAAGAUACUCUUCUUUACAUGCUGUUUUCCUGCUCUGGAGCGAGUGUUGUCUAAAUAUGAACUCACAGGGUUUUUAGAGGCUGGCUCUUCCUGAAUUCUCUCUUGAACAGUGUCAGUAUUCUCUAGUUACACUUCAAACUUGAGUUAUCUUUCACUAGUCACUUCAAACUUGAGUUAUCUUUCACUAGUCGUUUCUCUGAUACAUUGAAACAGUUGCUAAACCCCAUGGAUUCCUUCUUUGCAAUCUGUGUUACGUCAGUUUUCCUUUUAUAAUUCCUAUUUUUCCUAUAUGUCACAUAAAGUCAUAUUUUGUGAGCAAUUAACAACACAGGUUUGGAGUCAGGCAAAACUGGUUUCAGUCCUAGCUCUGCCACUUACUACGUAUGUGUCAUUGCUCAAUCUCUCGGACUCUUAAUUACCUUAUCUGUAAACUGGGAAUCAUAAUUUUAUUGGCCUCAAAGAGUUGUUGUGAGAAUUAAAUGACAGGAUGUUGUGAGAAUACUCAGUAGAGUGCCUUGCACAUAGUAAGUGUUAAACAUGCAAUAGUAAUUGUUACUGUUCACUCCUCCUUGUCCAUCCUGCUUCCUGCUUGCAAAUUAAUCCUCUUAAAGCCCCGGUCUGACAUUCUCUCUUCCUUACUCCAAGAGAGGCCUCAUUUGCACCUGGACUACCUGAGUAAUCAUUCACUAGCUGUGAGAUCCUGAGCAUGUUUACAAACUUCUCUCUGCCUCAGUUUCCUCAUCUGUGAAAUAGGGAUAAUAGUACCUACUUCAAAGGGUUAUUAUGAAGUUUAUUAUUAUUUAAUGUUAAUAGUUAAUAUUUUAAAGUACCCAGCAUACAAGUUAAUAGUAGUUUUUGAUAAAUAAAAACCUACGUGCUCUUCUUAUAUUUACUAUUUUAUUUUUUUGCUUUUUAGGGCCACACCUGAGGC